UCACAGAAGAGAGUGCGUCUGAAACGUGAUGACGUUUACGUUGGUGAAGAAGUAUGAAGAGAGAGAACCCGAGAGAACCCGAAACAACGCGGGAAAAUCUAAAACAACAUGUUGUACUUAGAAAAUGACGGAGGGAAGGAGCAACACUACUUUUACAGAUGGAGCCCUGAGCUGAAGAGAUGCAACAUUUGCCAAACAAAGGGGAGCUACGCAAAGCUUGUGUCUCAUGUGCAGGGACAGAGGACGGUGGAUACAGUGUCUACAAAUGCCACCUUGACUGUGUGCAAAGCCAUUAUCACUGUGGCUUAGUGAAAAAU